rnacentral:rRNA from 1 species
ACAUCCCGGAGACCCUUAGGAAACUAGGGGUGCUUCCAUCUGGAAGAAUCUGGAGACAGGUGCUGCAUGGCUGUCGUCAGCUCGUGUCGUGAGAUGUUGGGUUAAGUCCCGCAACGAGCGCAACCCUUGCCUUUGGUUGCCAGCAGUUCGGCUGGGCACUCUAAAGGGACCGCCGGUGUUAAACCGGAGGAAGGUGGGGAUGACGUCAAGUCCUCAUGGCCUUUAUGACCAGGGCUACACACGUACUACAAUGGCCGAUACAAAGGGCAGCGACACUGCGAGGUGAAGCCAAUCCCGUAAAAUCGGUCUCAGUCCGGAUUGGAGUCUGCAACUCGACUCCAUGAAGUUGGAAUCGCUAGUAAUCGUGGAUCAGCAUGCCACGGUGAAUACGUUCCCGGGCCUU